CCUCCAUCUCCACUAGCAACGGAUAGUGAAAAUUUCUUGGUACACCCUUCUUUUUUUCUAUUCUCCUUCCUCUUUUCUUCUUUUUCCUCUGAUCUCUCCCUCUAGUGGUCCAGACCAGCAACAGUAAUAAAUGCUUCUUUUUCUCCUCUGUUAUAAACUUUGCAUUGCCCGAUUUAUCCCUAUUUUAUGGUGUGUGAAAUCAUUACGAUAAAGUAUGUAACCAAAAUUUUGAACUGUGUAUCGAUUUAUUUAGUUAUUUGAUGUAUUUUUUAUAGCAGAAAAUGAUUGUAUCGACUUGAAAUACUGUUAGAAGAAGGAGAUCCAAGGAGA
rnacentral:lncRNA from 1 species